AUGGAAGCCAUUUUCUUGGUACGACAACUUAUGGAGAGAUAUAGGGAGCAUAAGAAGGACUUGCAUAUGGUGUUCAUUGACUUGGAGAAGGCCUAUGAUAAGAUACCGCGGAAUGUCAUGUGGUGGGCCUUGGAGAAACACAAAGUCCCAGCAAAGUACAUUACCCUCAUCAAGGACAUGUACAAUAAUGUUGUGACAAGUGUUCGAACAAGUGAUGUCGACACAGAUGACUUCCCGAUUAAGAUAGGACUGCAUCAGGGGUCAGCUUUGAGCCCUUAUCUUUUUGCAUUGGUGAUGGAUGAGGUCACAAGGGGUAUACAAGGAGAUAUCCCAUGGUGUAUGCUCUUUGCGGAUGAUGUGGUGCUAUUUGACGAUAGUCGGACGGGGGUAAAUAGGAAGUUAGAGUUAUGGAGACAAACCUUGGAAUCGAAAGGGUUUAGGCUUAGUAGAACUAAAACCGAGUACAUGAUGUGCGGUUUCAGUACUACUAGCUGUGAGGAGGAGGAGGUUAGCCUUGAUGGCCAGGUGGUACCUCGGAAGGACACCUUUCGGUAUUUGGGGUCAAUGUUGCAGGAGGAUGGGGGUAUUGAUGAAGAUGUGAACCAUCGAAUCAAAGCCGGAUGGAUGAAGUGGCGCCAAGCUUCUGGCAUUCUCUGUGACAAGAGAGUGCCACAAAAGCUAAAAGGCAAGUUCUACAGGACGGUGGUUCGACCCGCAAUGUUGUAUGGCGCGGAGUGUUGGCCGACUAAAAGGCGACAUGUUCAACAGUUAGGUGUGGCGGAGAUGCGUAUGUUGAGAUGGAUGUGUGGCCACACGAGGAAGGAUCGAGUCCGGAAUGAUGAUAUACGAGAUAGAGUUGGGGUAGCACCAAUUGAGGAGAAGCUUGUCCAACAUCGUUUGAGAUGGUUUGGGCAUAUUCAGCGCAGGCCUCCAGAAGCUCUAGUGCAUAGCGGACGGCUAAAGCGUGCGGAGAAUGUCAAGAGAGGGCGGGGUCGACCGAUUUUGACAUGGGAGGAGUCCGUUAAGAGAGACCUGAAGGAUUGGAGUAUCGACAAAGAGCUAGCUAUGGACAGGGGUGCGUGGAAGCUUGCUAUCCAUGUGCCAGAGUCAUGA
rnacentral:rRNA from 1 species